AGGACGAACGCUGGCGGCGUGCCUAACACAUGCAAGUCGAGCGAGGAGAUCCUUCGGGAUGAUCCUAGCGGCGGACGGGUGAGUAACACGUGGGCAACCUGCCUCAUAGAGAGGAAUAGCCUUCCGAAAGGGAGAUUAAUACCUCAUAACAUUGCAGUUUCGCAUGGAACAGCAAUUAAAGGAGUAAUCCGCUGUGAGAUGGGCCCGCGGCGCAUUAGCUAGUUGGUGAGGUAACGGCUCACCAAGGCGACGAUGCGUAGCCGACCUGAGAGGGUGAUCGGCCACAUUGGGACUGAGACACGGCCCAGACUCCUACGGGAGGCAGCAGUGGGGAAUAUUGCACAAUGGGGGAAACCCUGAUGCCAGCAACGCCGCGUGAGUGAUGACGGCCUUCGGGUUGUAAAGCUCUGUCUUCAGGGACGAUAAUGACGGUACCUGAGGAGGAAGCCACGGCUAACUACGUGCCAGCCGCCGC
rnacentral:rRNA from 1 species